GAGUUUGAUCGUGGCUCAGGACGAACGCUGGCGGUGUGCUUAACACAUGCAAGUGGAGCGACGAACCAGAGCUUGCUCUGGGGCAGAGCCGCGAACGGGUGAGUAACACGUGGGUAACGUACCCCGAUAACCGGGACAACCCGAGGAAACUCGGGCUAAUACCGGAUGUGCUCUCCUCUCAUCAGAGAGGCGAGUAAAGGAAGCUUCGGCCUCCGUAUCGGGAGCGGCCCGCGGCCUAUUAGUUUGUUGGUGGGGUAACGGCCUACCAAGACUGCGAUAGGUAGCUGGUCUGAGAGGAUGAUCGGCCACACUGGGACUGAGACACGGCCCAGACUCCUACGGGAGGCAGCAGUGGGGAAUCUUGCGCAAUGCGCGAAAGCGUGACGCAGCAACACCGCGU
rnacentral:rRNA from 1 species